AGCCGAGCGGUAGAGAUUCUUCGGAAUCUUGAGAGCGGCGUACGGGUGCGGAACACGUGUGCAACCUACCUUUAUCAGGGGGAUAGCCUUUCGAAAGGAAGAUUAAUACCCCAUAAUAUAUUGAAUGGCAUCAUUUAAUAUUGAAAACUCCGGUGGAUAGAGAUGGGCACGCGCAAGAUUAGAUAGUUGGUAGGGUAACGGCCUACCAAGUCAAUGAUCUUUAGGGGGCCUGAGAGGGUGAUCCCCCACACUGGUACUGAGACACGGACCAGACUCCUACGGGAGGCAGCAGUGAGGAAUAUUGGACAAUGGGUGAGAGCCUGAUCCAGCCAUCCCGCGUGAAGGACGACGGCCCUAUGGGUUGUAAACUUCUUUUGUAUAGGGAUAAACCUACUCUCGUGAGAGUAGCUGAAGGUACUAUACGAAUAAGCACCGGCUAACUCCGUGCCAGCAGCCGCGGUAAUACGGAGGGUGCAAGCGUUAUCCGGAUUUAUUGGGUUUAAAGGGUCCGUAGGCGGAUCUGUAAGUCAGUGGUGAAAUCUCAUAGCUUAACUAUGAAACUGCCAUUGAUACUGCAGGUCUUGAGUAAAGUAGAAGUGGCUGGAAUAAGUAGUGUAGCGGUGAAAUGCAUAGAUAUUACUUAGAACACCAAUUGCGAAGGCAGGUCACUAUGUUUUAACUGACGCUGAUGGACGAAAGCGUGGGGAGCGAACAGGAUUAGAUACCCUGGUAGUCCACGCCGUAAACGAUGCUAACUCGUUUUUGGGGUCUCGGAUUCAGAGACUAAGCGAAAGUGAUAAGUUAGCCACCUGGGGAGUACGUUCGCAAGAAUGAAACUCAAAGGAAUUGACGGGGGCCCGCACAAGCGGUGGAUUAUGUGGUUUAAUUCGAUGAUACGCGAGGAACCUUACCAAGGCUUAAAUGGGAAUUGACAGGUUUAGAAAUAGACUUUUCUUCGGACAAUUUUCAAGGUGCUGCAUGGUUGUCGUCAGCUCGUGCCGUGAGGUGUUAGGUUAAGUCCUGCAACGAGCGCAACCCCUGUCACUAGUUGCCAUCAUUCAGUUGGGGACUCUAGUGAGACUGCCUACGCAAGUAGAGAGGAAGGUGGGGAUGACGUCAAAUCAUCACGGCCCUUACGCCUUGGGCCACACACGUAAUACAAUGGCCAGUACAGAGGGCAGCUACCAGGCGACUGGAUGCGAAUCUCGAAAGCUGGUCUCAGUUCGGAUUGGAGUCUGCAACUCGACUCUAUGAAGCUGAAUCG
rnacentral:rRNA from 1 species